rnacentral:rRNA from 1 species
UACGUAGGGGGCGAGCGUUGUCCGGGUUCAUUGGGCGUAAAGGGCGCGUAGGUGGCCCCUCAAGCGUGCGGUGAAAGUCGGGGGCUCAACCCCCGAUCGGCCGUGCGAACUGGGGGGCUGGAGCACUGUAGAGGCAGGCGGAAUUCCGGGUGUAGCGGUGGAAUGCGUAGAGAUCCGGAAGAACACCGGUGGCGAAGGCGGCCUGCUGGGCAGUUUUGCUGACACUGAGGCGCGACAGCGUGGGGAGCAAACAGG